ncrna:unclassified sequences pemK RNA
AUAAUGAUACAUCUAUUAGUUGAAGUCGGCUCAUCUAAAAAGAGGCGAAGGUGAAAUUCCUAUGU